rnacentral:rRNA from 1 species
ACGCUCGACACCUACGGGGCAGCAGUGGGGAAUAUUGCACAAUGGGGGAAACCCUGAUGCAGCGACGCCGCGUGAAGGAAGAAGUAUCUCGGUAUGUAAACUUCUAUCAGCAGGGAAGAAAAUGACGGUACCUGACUAAGAAGCCCCGGCUAACUACGUGCCAGCAGCCGCGGUAAUCUGAGCGGGCUGGCAAGGC